UACCCGUUUAAAAGUUUAAAAAUAUUAUUGUUAGGAUGAAAAGGAUGGUUUAGAAGGAGACGAACCAAGUGAAGAGGAUACAUUAAACGAUACAACAUCUGCUCUUGGCACAGGAUUUUGGGUUCUUUUGAGCCUAGGAGUAGUUCUAGCGGUUGGAAUUGCUAUAGUUAUAUAUAUUUAUAAAAGGAUCCAGAAGAAGAACCCGAAGGUGACUCGACCAAAUGAAUAUUCAGCUGUAAGCAGGGAUGAAGAUCAAGUACAGAAGGAAAACAACCAAGUAUAGGAAUAAUCAACAUUAUCAAUGACGAUUUGAAACUAAAGAAUAUCCCCUUUUCCUAAAUAUAACAAUAGUAAAAACAAAUUCGUCAAUAUUGAGAAUAGGUUAAACAUUAUAACUACUUUAACUAGUCAUCGAAAUAAAAUCUUGUUUUUGGUAAAUUCAAAUCAUUCACAUUUGACCUAUUAGUGCAUAUUUGUUUGCACCUCUAUAUUCCAUAUUGUAUAUAUGUAUACACCCAGUUUGAACAUGAAUGUAAACGUCUGCUAGUUAGACUUUAAAAUAGUUAACUCCUUUUAUGUAAAUAAAGAGUAAACCAGUUUUCAA